UACGGGGGGGGCAAGCGUUGUUCGGAAUUAUUGGGCGUAAAGAGCUCGUAGGCGGUCUGUUGCGUCGGCUGUGAAAACCCGGGGCUCAACCCCGGGCCUGCAGCCGAUACGGGCAGACUAGAGUUCGGCAGGGGAGACUGGAAUUCCUGGUGUAGCGGUGAAAUGCGCAGAUAUCAGGAGGAACACCGGUGGCGAAGGCAGCUCGCUGGGACGUUACUGACGCUGAGACGCGAAAGCGUGGGGAGCAAACAGG
rnacentral:rRNA from 1 species